AGAGUUUGAUCAUGGCUCAGGACGAACGCUGGCGGCGUGCUUAACACAUGCAAGUCGAACGGAAAGGCCCUUCGGGGUACUCGAGUGGCGAACGGGUGAGUAACACGUGGGUGAUCUGCCCUGCACUUUGGGAUAAGCCUGGGAAACUGGGUCUAAUACCGAAUAUGACCAUGCACUUCCUGGUGUGUGGUGGAAAGCUUUUGCGGUGUGGGAUGGGCCCGCGGCCUAUCAGCUUGUUGGUGGGGUAAUGGCCUACCAAGGCGACGACGGGUAGCCGGCCUGAGAGGGUGACCGGCCACACUGGGACUGAGAUACGGCCCAGACUCCUACGGGAGGCAGCAGUGGGGAAUAUUGCACAAUGGGCGCAAGCCUGAUGCAGCGACGCCGCGUGAGGGAUGACGGCCUUCGGGUUGUAAACCCCUUUCAGCACAGACGAAGCGCAAGUGACGGUAUGUGCAGAAGAAGGACCGGCCAACUACGUGCCAGCAGCCGCGGUAAUACGUAGGGUCCGAGCGUUGUCCGGAAUUACUGGGCGUAAAGAGCUCGUAGGUGGUUUGUCGCGUUGUUCGUGAAAACUCACAGCUUAACUGUGGGCGUGCGGGCGAUACGGGCAGACUUGAGUACUGCAGGGGAGACUGGAAUUCCUGGUGUAGCGGUGGAAUGCGCAGAUAUCAGGAGGAACACCGGUGGCGAAGGCGGGUCUCUGGGCAGUAACUGACGCUGAGGAGCGAAAGCGUGGGGAGCGAACAGGAUUAGAUACCCCGGUAGUCCAA
rnacentral:rRNA from 1 species